UACAGUUUGGGUUAUUUGAUACAGAACUUUAAUAAUGGAAACCUAAAAUGGGAAGAAUGAUCAAUAAGAGGGUCCAGAGUCCAGGAACCAACAAUGAGAGAAAGGGUUCAGACAGUUUUCCUUUCCAAAAGAAGCAUGCAUUUACUGACAACAGAGGUAACGAAGCACGGACAAACCACAGUUAAUUAUGCUACUAAUGACAGAAAAUACAGAACAUCUCAGUCCCAUUUUCAACGAAAGACCGCCAUGUUGGAGGAUUAACUUCAAGAGUAGCGAUUGACUGAAACCUGUGUUGCUGUUAUUUCACAGUAUUUAUCUUUUUGUGAUUUUUUUAAACAAGUUUUAUACAUUUUUCAUCUAAUUAAUCGUCUAAAUAUGUAUGUAAUAUUUUUGUAUUCAUUUGAUUAUUUGUUAUUGUUUUAAGUAUUUCAUUUUGUAAAAUGGAAAACAACCUUGCCCUCUACCAUGUCUUAACGUACUGUAUUAGGGUUAUGUUUAUUAAUGAAUCAUCCUAACCAAACUUGCUCUAAGCAAACUUGCACAUAUGUUUAGCUUUGUUUUAUUGUUAGGUGUAUGGUCAAAUAUAAAUCAUAUAAACCAAACUUGUUAG